UUACAUGGCUGCAGGGAUUUGCACUUGGUCUUCAUACUUACCUAUUGAGCCUUCUCCCUAUCCCAUGAGUGUACUUUCUGUGUAUCCUGGAAAGCAGGGUGUAUUGCAACUGUCUGUGUGGAUGUCACAUGUCCCUUUUCUCUUUCCUUCUCUCGAAGGUGUUUGUCUUUGGUACUCUUACGGAAUGGCUGCACUUCUACAACAAGUGGUUCUACUGUGGCCUGUGGAUUGUGAACGGCCUGCUGCAGUCCACUGGCUGGCCCUGUGUGGUUGCUGUGAUGGGCAACUGGUUUGGGAAAGCUGGCCGAGGAGUUGUCUUUGGUCUCUGGAGUGCCUGUGCUUCAGUGGGCAAUAUUUUGGGAGCAUGCCUGGCUUCAUCGGUUCUCCAGUAUGGCUAUGAGGUGGGUAUUUCUUUCACAGCUUAUGUGUGUACACUUGUUCUUGCUAGUUAACCAAGAACUCCUCACCCUCUUCCCUCUCCCUCCCAAGUGCUAAGAUUACAGGAGUGCACCACCAGGCCUGGCAAGAAGACUUUGUGUUUUGGGAGCCGUGGUGUGUAAUGUUACUGGUAGAAGGAAGGCAGCCUGGUUUUGAGGGGCUUGGGCUGUGUGAUGAUCACCAGUACUUGAGUACUUGAUUGAUAGCCCAGCAUGCAAGAAAGGAAAGGAUGUAGAACCGUGGGUACUGAGCAAGGCCGGGUGGGGGGCAGCCCAGCUGCCAACAUCCUUUGUGGGUGUGGAAGAGCCUCUGAAGGGACCUUCAGUCUCCAGGUACACUGUCAACUAUGUCCAUGCCAACGGGAGGAAGCCUUUGGGGUGGGGCUUGAUCAGUCUGAUGUGCAUUUGGCAGCGUCUGAAUGGGGUGGGGUAGUGGAUUCCCGGCUGGCUCAAGUUUAAGUAAGCCUGUGCUUGUAGAAAGAGGGGUAAAGACAGGUCGCUUCCUUCCUGACCCUUGAGCCUUUUGGGAGUAUCUCAUGAGAUGCUGCCAAUUGCUUGGAAUGUUUUAACUGCUUUGUAUUCCUGAGGCAUCAAAUGGCCAAGGAAGCUCUAGGCAUCCAUCCCAAAUAUCCCUGGGAGUUGGAGUGGUGCUAGAAGUGCAGCUAUCCUAGAAAACAGUCCCUAGAACUAACAGAACGAGAAGCUGGGUCUACCUGCUGCAUCGUAGUCUGAGCGUCUGGAGAGCUGAGUCGUCUUCGUUCUGCCUUCCAAUAUUUCUUUGCAAAAACAAAGAAAGGGAAGCAUGCAAAUUAUCCAAAAUUCUUGGUGUAUUUUGAAUUUAGCUAUUUUUUUUUGAACCAGUAAAUAAUUUUUUUAUGGAAAAUUAAGUAAGGAAGGAAGGGACAGAAAAUCUCUACUGAGUAUUUACUAGCUUGGUAAGACUCAGGUUGGUAACUUGUUGUGUCCUCGAGGCUGUGAGGCAAUGACACGGCAGUUAUUGGCAAUGUCUCAAGUUAUAGCUGCUCUCACCAAGCUGUUUCACCUCCAGGAAGCAUCACACCGGUGAACGUGCUCACACACGCACAAACAAAUGCUAUUACAGUCACCUCAGCACAGUUUGUAAUAGCCAAAGAUUGGUGUUAAAUGUCAGCUGAUGGGG
rnacentral:lncRNA from 1 species